rnacentral:rRNA from 1 species
CCAAUAGCGUAUAUUAAAGUUGUUGCAGUUAAAAAGCUCGUAGUUGAACCUUAGGCCCGUGCGGGUGGUCCGUCCUCAGGGCGAGCACUGCUCCGUCGCGGGUCUCACCUUCUGGCGAGCGUGGAUGCCAUUUAUUUGGUGUCCGCGGGAACCAGGACCUUUACCUUGAAAAAAUUAGAGUGCUCAAAGCGGGCUCCGACGCUUGAAUACAUUAGCAUGGAAUAAUGAAAUAGGACGAUGGUUCUAUUUUGUUGGUUUCCGGGACCGUCGUAAUGAUUAAUAGGGAUAGUUGGGGGCAUUCGUAUUCAAUUGUCAGGGGUGAAAUUCUUGGAUUUAUUGAAGACGAACUACUGCGAAAGCAUUUGCCAAGGAUGUUUUCAUUAAUCAAGAACGAAAGUUGGGGGAUCGAAGACGAUCAGAUACCGUCGUAGUCUCAACCAUAAACUAUGCCGACUGGGAAUCGGGCGAUGUUACUUUUCUGACUCGCUCGGCGCCCCGAG